rnacentral:lncRNA from 1 species
ACAUGAUUUUCAUGUGAAGCUCUCUGGGUUUUUCUGGCAUACCCUCUCCUGCUAAGAAGUUGCCUCUGGCCAGGUGCGAUGACUCACACCUGUAAUCUUAACAUUUUGGGCGGCUGAGUUCAAGAAUUUAAUGGGCAAAAAUAAAGAAGUCUGGUAAUACCAAGUAUUUGAGGGCAUAUGGAUCAAUUGGAUCAAUUAUAUACAGCUGAUGGGAAUGUAAAUUGGUACAAUUCUGUGGAAAUAAAUUGGUGUUAUCUUGUAAAGUAAAAUAUUUAUAAACUCUAAUGAUCCAGCAAUAUGACAUCUAGUUAUAUACCUACAUAUAAGAGACAGUUUAGCACAUAUAUACCUGGAGACACAUAUGACAAUGUGCAUAACAGCAUUGUUUUUUAUUGGAAAAAAAACUGGAGACAAAACAAAUGGCAAUGGGAGAGUGGAAAAACAAGAUGUGAUCUAUUCAUACAAUGUAAAUUCAAUAGCAUCAAAAAUGAAUGUGGGACAGCACAGGAGAACAGUAGUUACAUAAUGUCAUAGGAAAAAAUAAGCACCAGAAGACAAUAUACAAUAUGAUAGUAUUUUUAUAUAGUUUAAAAACAAAAAAUUAAACAUAUUAUUUGGGCAUCUGCAUGAUGUGUGUGCAUGAUUGUUAAAAAGUAGCUUAAGCAAUAGGAUCUUAACCACAAAUUGAGAUAAUGGCAACAACUAAGGAAGAAGGGAGGGAUGGAGUGACAUAGAGGAACACAGAGGUAGGUGUAGAUUAAUAAUAAUAUUCUAGUUGUUGGGUUGUGUCAUGAUAAGCGUCCAUUGCAUUGUGAAACAAAGGAAGGUGAGAGAGAGGUGGACGGGGGUAGAAGGAGAGUGAGAGAGGGAGCUGACCUAGCUGCCAUGCGUCUCUGGCUGCUUGUUACAACCACAAAGAAAGACCACUAAUACCACCUCAUCAUGAAACCUUUCAGGUAAUCAUUAGUGUUGUUCACUCUGAUACAAUUCUCCUCUUUUGGGGCAGGGUGGGGACAUGGAAGGCUGCACUUCUCUUUGGAGUUAAACAGGACCAUGUGUCUUGCUCUGGCCAAGCAAUGUAAGCAGAAAGUGUCACUGUCAGGCUGAAGCCUUUAGGAGAAGCAAGACACCAGUCAACACACUCCUUUCUCCAGCUUCAGUAAAUACCUAAAACACGUAGCAUUGGCUUGGUAAUAGGCCUACUGAUGAUGAAGAAAUUAAUAUUGAAGGUUGGAAAGAUGGCACUCCAUGUUAUGUAAGAAGUGAAAAUGUUAAGAGUGUUGCCUGUGGCCACUCAAGAAGUGUGUUAUAUACCUAGUGCCCUUGAGCUCUAAGGGAAGACAUCAGGGAAACAGAAUGCAACGCUGUGUGCCAGCUGCCUUUGGUAACAUAUUAUGAAAGAGAGGCCCAAAGGAAAAUCAGAUGGUCUGUUUUGCAAGCAGCAAUGAAAGAACUAACUGACUCCGUGUCUUCAACAGGUAAAUGGUAAAGAAAGCUUUCAUUAAUAAAUGAUCUUCAAUAAAGACACACACAAAUACAUACACGUGGCUGGGUGUGGAGGCUCACCCCUGUAAUCCCAGCACUUUGGGAGGCUGAAUCAGGUGGAUUGCUUGAGUCCAAGAGUUCGAGACAAGCCUGGGCAAUGUAGUGAGACCACAACUCUACAAAAAAAAAAAUCAGUUAGCCAGGUAUGGUGGCAUGCCUGUGGUCUCAGCUACCUGAGAGGCUGAGGUAGAAGGAUCUCUUGAGCCAGGGAGGUCAAUGCUUCAGUGAUCUGUGCUCAUGCCACUGCACGCCAGCCUGGGCAACAGAGUGAGAUUCUGUCUCAAAAAAAGAAAAAAAAUACACACACACACACACAUGCAUGCACACUAUAAAAAUCUUUCUCUCCAUCCACCUCAGUCAAGAGCAAGUAUUAAGUGCAUUCAUACUCUUGUACAACCAUCACCAUCAUCCAUCUGCAGAACUCUUCAUCUUGUAAAACUGAAACUCUAUU